GGGCGUUGCACGGUCGUAUUGCGUGGGCGGAUCAUGAUUGCGCCCUACGUACGGAACCCUCCCCUGCUCCUUUCCAUAGGUGUCUUGGGCACUUUAAGGUUACUGCCGGUGAUAAGCCGGAGGAAGGUGGGGAUGACGGCAAGUCCUCGUGGCCCUUACGGGCUGGGCUACACAGGUGCUACAAUGGUGGUGACAGGGGGCAGCGAGACCGCGAGGUCGAGCUAAUCUCCAAAAGCCAUCUCAGUUCGGAUUGUUCUCUGCAACUCGAGAGCAUGAAGUUGGAAUCGCUAGUAAUCGUGGAUCAGCAUGCCACGGUGAAUACGUUCCCGGGCCUUGUACACUCCGCU
rnacentral:rRNA from 1 species